GCUGGCGGCGUGCCUAAUACAUGCAAGUCGAGCGAAUGGAUUGAGAGCUUGCUCUCAAGAAGUUAGCGGCGGACGGGUGAGUAACACGUGGGUAACCUGCCCAUAAGACUGGGAUAACUCCGGGAAACCGGGGCUAAUACCGGAUAAYAUUUUGAACUGCAUGGUUCGAAAUUGAAAGGCGGCUUCGGCUGUCACUUAUGGAUGGACCCGCGUCGCAUUAGCUAGUUGGUGAGGUAACGGCUCACCAAGGCAACGAUGCGUAGCC
rnacentral:rRNA from 1 species